GACGAACGCUGGCGGCGUGCCUAAUACAUGCAAGUUGAGCGCUGAAGGUUGGUAUUUGUUCCAUCUGUAUGUUCCGCGCACGUGUGUGUCACGCGUGGAGCCUCUCCCUUUGCGCGGGGUACCACUUUUGGAAACUAAUUCUUAUACCGCAUAAAAACUUUAUACAUAAGUUUUACGUUUGAAAGAUGCUAUUGCAUCUCUCAAAUAUGAUCCCGUGUUGUAUUAGCUAGUUGGUGAGGUAAAGGCUCACCAAGGCGAUGAUACAUAGCCGACCGGAGAGGGUGAUAGGCCACAUUGGGACGGAGACACGGCCCAAACUCCUACGGGAGGCAGCAGUAGGGAAUCUUCGGCAAUGGACGGAAGUCUGACCGAGCAACGCCGCGUGAGUGAAGAAGGUUGUCGGAUCGUAAAGCUCUGUUGGUAGAGAAGAACGAGGGUGAGAGUGGAAAGCUCACCAAGUGACGGUAACUAACCAGAAAGGGACGGCUAACUACGUG
rnacentral:rRNA from 1 species